UACGGAGGGUGCGAGCGUUAAUCGGAAUUACUGGGCGUAAAGGGUGCGUAGGUGGUUAGAUAAGUUAUCUGUGAAAUUCCUGGGCUCAACCUGGGCAGGUCAGAUGAUACUGUUUAACUCGAGUAUGGGAGAGGGUAGUGGAAUUUCCGGUGUAGCGGUGAAAUGCGUAGAGAUCGGAAGGAACACCAGUGGCGAAGGCGGCUACCUGGCCUAAUACUGACACUGAGGCACGAAAGCGUGGGGAGCAAACAGG
rnacentral:rRNA from 1 species